rnacentral:rRNA from 1 species
GGGUAGUUUGACUGGGGCGGUCUCCUCCUAAAGAGUAACGGAGGAGCACGAAGGUUGGCUAAUCCUGGUCGGACAUCAGGAGGUUAGUGCAAUGGCAUAAGCCAGCUUGACUGCGAGCGUGACGGCGCGAGCAGGUGCGAAAGCAGGUCAUAGUGAUCCGGUGGUUCUGAAUGGAAGGGCCAUCGCUCAACGGAUAAAAGGUACUCCGGGGAUAACAGGCUGAUACCGCCCAAGAGUUCAUAUCGACGGCGGUGUUUGGCACCUCGAUGUCGGCUCAUCACAUCCUGGGGCUGAAGUAGGUCCCAAGGGUAUGGCUGUUCGCCAUUUAAAGUGGUACGCGAGCUGGGUUUAGAACGUCGUGAGACAGUUCGGUCCCUAUCUGCCGUGGGCGCUGGAGAACUGAGGGGGGCUGCUCCUAGUACGAGAGGACCGGAGUGGACGCAUCACUGGUGUUCGGGUUGUCAUGCCAAUGGCACUGCCCGGUAGCUAAAUGCGGAAGAGAUAAGUGCUGAAAGCAUCUAAGCACGAAACUUGCCCCGAGAUGAGUUCUCCCUGAGACUUAGAGUCUCCUGAAGGAACGUUGAAGACGACGACGUUGAUAGGCCGGGUGUGUAAGCGCAGCGAUGCGUUGAGCU